AAGUAUGAUGCCUGAAUAAAGGGUAGUUUUGAUAGAACUAAUCAAGUAGAAUACCUACUCAUACU
rnacentral:tRNA from 1 species